rnacentral:rRNA from 1 species
CCUACGGGGUGCAGCAGUGGGGAAUAUUGGGCAAUGGGCGCAAGCCUGACCCAGCAACGCCGCGUGAAGGAAGAAGGCUUUCGGGUUGUAAACUUCUUUUCUCAGGGACGAAGCAAGUGACGGUACCUGAGGAAUAAGCCACGGCUAACUACGUGCCAGCAGCCGCGGUAAUACGUAGGUGGCAAGCGUUAUCCGGAUUUACUGGGUGUAAAGGGCGUGUAGGCGGGACUGCAAGUCAGAUGUGAAAACCACGGGCUCAACCUGUGCCCUGCAUUUGAAACUGUAGUUCUUGAGUACUGGGGAGGCAGACGGAAUUCCUAGUGUAGCGGUGAAAUGCGUAGAGAUUAGGAGGAACACCAGUGGCGAAGGCGGUCUGCUGGACAGCAACUGACGUUGAGGCUCGAAAGCGUGGGGAGCAAACAGGAUUAGAUACCCCGGUAGUC